rnacentral:rRNA from 1 species
AGAGUUUGAUCCUGGCUCAGGACGAACGCUGGCGGCGUGCUUAACACAUGCAAGUCGAACGGUACUUACCGAGUAGUAAUACGAAGUUUGUAUAGUGGCGGACGGGUGAGUAACGCGUGAGCAAUCUGCCCUUAAGAGGGGGAUAACACCGGGAAACCGGUGCUAAUACCGCAUAAGACCACAGUGCCACAUGGCACAGGGGUAAAAGGAAGUAAUUCCGCUUAUGGAUGAGCUCGCGUCCCAUUAGCUAGUUGGUGAGGUAACGGCUCACCAAGGCUGCGAUGGGUAGCCGACCUGAGAGGGUGAACGGCCACACUGGAACUGAGACACGGUCCAGACUCCUACGGGAGGCAGCAGUGGGGAAUAUUGGGCAAUGGGCGAAAGCCUGACCCAGCAACGCCGCGUGAGGGAAGAAGGUUUUCGGAUUGUAAACCUCUGUCCUUGGGGACGAAAAAAAUGACGGUACCCAAGGAGGAAGCCCCGGCUAACUACGUGCCAGCAGCCGCGGUAAUACGUAGGGGGCAAGCGUUGUCCGGAAUUACUGGGCGUAAAGGGUGCGUAGGCGGUUGCCUAAGUCAGAUGUGAAAUCCCCGGGCUUAACUCGGGUGGUGCAUUUGAAACUGGGUAACUAGAGUGCAGGAGAGGAAAGCGGAAUUCCUAGUGUAGCGGUGAAAUGCGUAGAUAUUAGGAGGAACACCAGUGGCGAAGGCGGCUUUCUGGACUGUAACUGACGCUGAGGCACGAAAGCGUGGGGAGCAAACAGGAUUAGAUACCCUGGUAGUCC